rnacentral:lncRNA from 10 species
CGGUUCUCUAAUUUGACUCAGCUUCAGAUUGGAAUGUUUCUCUCCUCACUGGGAAAAGCUCCUUUGGUCUCAGUGAACUCAGAGGUGGAGAAAGUCAUAAGAAUCAGGGAGCCUGCCCCAAAUUGCCUCCUAUGAUAACUUUCCACAAAGACUGGAGGGGAGGCUUCAAACAUCUUCCUGCAGUGUCCAGCAAGACAGCGAGGCAGACUCCCUUUCUCCUGCCAAAGCCACGUGGAGCCAGACAGAACCACAAGCAUACCUGUGGUGCUUGGAGGCCCAAGUAGAAACUUGAAUGCUCACGGCUGCAUUGGCAGCUUCUACUUGCCUGCCUGGAUCACCGUUCCUCAUGAGAACUUGGAAAAGCAGGACUAUCAUUCUUGCUUGACAGACGAAGAAACCAAGCCUCAGUUUUGUAGGCUCCUACCAGUGAAAGCCUCCUCACAACUCUCUUCUUCUCCCCAAGGACUGCGUGCAAUUCUACUUGGAGAUCUUCAUAACACCUUAAGGGAAAAAUCCUUUUUGAAAGAAAAACAAGUCUGGGUGGUGCUUGAAAAUUCAGAAGGCAGCUAGAAACUCUGCCAAUUACAACUGGUGAUUGCUGAGUUCUGGAGACAGACUGGGCUUCUGCUUUCUUUUGGUGGAGGUGUCUGCUUGCAGAAAAUUUAUGUUCUGGGAUUUACAACUUCAGGGAGACAAAGGAAACUCCAGCUCAUCUCCCACAUCAUUGAUUGAGAGGACCAUUUUCUGACUGUCUGCACACUGGUGCUUCGUGAACCCUGGAUGCUACAGUCUCUGGCCACAGCACUAAAUGUAUGCUGAGAUCUGGCUUCACGGUCG